GCCUUAGCUAUGGCCCCUUGAACAAACCCGAUCCCGUCUGAUCUCAGAAGCUAAGCAAGUUGGCUAAAGAAGUUGGGCCUGAUUAGUACUUGAUGGGAGACCACCUAGAAAGACCAGGUGUUGUAGGCG
rnacentral:rRNA from 1 species